rnacentral:lncRNA from 1 species
GCUACUGAUCACGUCUGUUAUUGGUGUACAGACACAUUUUACUUUUCUGUUUGCCUCAGGAAUUGGAUGAAGUAAUUGAUCACUAAAGAACUACAGUGCUGGUGAGAUGUGUAAGAUUGAGGCAUUCUAUUGACAUUUUGCCUUACAAAAAAACAAAAAACAAAACAAAACUUGGGAGAGGAAGGCGGACGUAAAUCAAGAUCCUUUUAUUACUUUGUGGAAAGGAACCAGUGCACUGCUUCUUAGCCGAUGGUGAUAUUCAUUUGUAGUCUGAAAAUGAAAUACUUACGGGGCAUCUGACUGGCUCAGUUGGAAGAGCAUGAGAUUCUUGAUCUCUGGAUUGUGAGUUUGAGCUCCAUCUUGGGUGUAGAGAAUACUAAAAAAAU